UCGACCAAAGAAAAAGGGGUUGCCUUUGUCGUUCGACAUCUUGCCGGCGUCUUUUUGGCAAACCCCGGGAAUGACCUCCCUUGCUGCAAAAAUCCCUGCCGGCAGCCUCAAGAAGCUUCACCGGAGCAACAUCUUUCUGGCCCCGAUCCGGCGACUUCCGGUCACUUUUCGACCGGAAUUCUUGUACUUUCAGACUCCUUGCAACUCGAACUUCACGUAGGCGCUUCCGGAUUCAAAUUCUGACACCGUUGGCAAGACCGGCUUCCAGACCCUGGUGUUUUCCAGACACUCGAAAUAUUACAAUUUUGACUCGAUAAUCCAUCUUUCCCGCUAGCUCCACCCGAGGCACAGGAGUGGACUGCGGAGUGCGUUAGAACUACUAUGAUUAAUACAUAGGUGUUGAUUAUGAUAUUGGGAUGAGGCUAUAGUAGAACAUGUCAUUUGAUGGGUUAUAUCAUGACCGCGUGCACAUCGGUAAUGAUCAAAGACAGGUAACAUGAUUAUUUUGGAUUUUUACCCUAGUCGAGUAUAACUCUCUAACCUGUGAAAGUCGACUAUCGGAGAAAAGUCUCUGGUCGAACAAUGCUCUCUAGGCGCUGGUUUAGUUAGGAAUCAAGUGUUCAGGCUGGAUGUAAGGACCCUGGUCGAGCUUCGCUUUAUUGCCGUCACUAAAUAUUGGAACUAAAGAGGUAAGAAAGUUUGUCGUCGUUCGUUUUUGUUAGCGCGGAAGACAUCAUUAUUAAGAUGUUUCAUAUAGCGACGGUCUUCCUUUCCAUCGCUAGAAGCAAUGAAUAGCGGUGAUUGUUCUUGUUGCUAAAAAGUAUCUUAAAAAUGCCUAUAUGCCACCCUAUAGUUUAGCGACGGACAACAUCUGUCGGUAAAUAUAUUUAAAUGAAAUAAUAAUGUUCCAAGUCGUUUUUGUUAUACCCUAAAAUUUAGCGACGAAUGCCGUCCAUUGCUAAAUUUUAAGGUAUUAGUUUGCGACAGUCCACUCCCUUUCUGUUUUUUCUUCUCCUCAUCCUCUCUCCCCGUCCCUACUCUCUCCUCCCACUUCUCAUCUUCCCCCUCCACCUCCACCUCUCCUUCCCUAGUGCCGUCACCACUGCCAUCACUGUUAUCCAAGUAUGAUCGAUUUAUUACUUUUUUUUAAAAUUAUUUUUAUGUGUUUUUAUUUAUUUAUGUUGAAAUUGUAGCCCUUUUGCUGCCAUCUUCUCCAGUGGCAGAUAGUUUUUUGCGGACCAUCUGGUGGCCGAAGAUGCAUAUGUGGAUUAGCAAGCGGAACCUCAUAAUGUUGAGGCAUAAAAGUUUUAUGACAUGCUAAAGGCAGCAGAUAAGGAGUUGUGGCUCAGUUGUAAAAGGCAUUCAUGGCUAUCUCUCGUUGCUAAACUAAUGAGCAUGAGGUCAGAGAAUCACACGUCAGAAAGAUGCUUUAAUCAAAUCUAGUGGAGGAUAACUUUUAUAGUAAUAGAAGUUACUUUGUGGUCUAGGUCUGCCAGUAGAAAAGAUCGAUUAUUGGGCUGGAGAUAUUAACUCAGUAAGCUAUAAGAUUUAUGGCCAUUCGAGGUUCAAGAAAUCAUAUCGGGCCUUAAAUUAAAGACAAAAAAGAAGUGUGGUAUGCAAAAAGAUGUAUUAUUUUCCUCUAAUCUUUAGAUUGUAAAGAACGUAUGCAUCAAAUGCUACUACGAAGGAUAUGAGGUGGCAUGCAAAGCAUGAGAUUGAAGAUGGGGUUAUGUGUCAUCCGUUUGAUUCACCAGCUUGGAAGCAUUUCAAAGAGAUGCAUCCAACUUUUGAAGUUGAAAGUUAGAAUGUUAGACUGGGUCUUUGCACGGAUGGAAUGUUAGGCUGCUUGGGAUAGACAGGCAGCCGAAAGAUACCGCGACAUCAUAUCGAGUAGGAAGAGGAGUGGGAAGCGGUCUCCAUGUAUCGUAGAGGACACCUAGGCCCACUGGACAGAAUAUUGGAAGAAGCUCGAGGUGAAGGCAGCCUCUGAGACCCACAGUAAGAACCGUCUCAGCAAGGUUGUCGGCCCUGCUCAUCACACUGCUGAGUCAAGGUCGGCAUCGACCACCAGCAGGCACUGGUAGUUAGAUUACGAGCCUACCGCCUUUGAGCUGUUCCGCCGGUUGCAAAAUAAGAUUGACGACCAGUUCAUUGAUAGCAAGUCCUAGCAUAUCACUGAUAUUGUUGAGGCACGGGUAUCUACUACAUCUCAACCUGGCUAAGGUUCUUAUGAUCCUCCACCGGUUGAUAUGUCGCAACUGUUCAUCGAUAUCGUUAGCAGGGAAAGAAGCAGCACACAUACGGGCUGGAUUUAAAGACGCCCACCUUCAUGCAAUCACAUAGCUCUGAUAACCCCAGCAGCAUUACCUUUGAUCGCUCGUGGGAGGAGCUCAGGCGUGAGAUACGAGUAGAGCUGGAUCAAGAGUGUGGCGCCCAUAUAGCAUAUUUCGAGUGGACGAUACAACACAUGGUUCGCAUAUUUAGAGCUGGCUUCAUUCCACCACCUUUGCCCACUCCUCUAGUCGGUGCAUUUGUGACUUAUGGUUGAUUUGUAUUUUCAAGAAAUAUUAUUAGUAAGAAUAGUAAAAAUGUGUUAGGUGGCUGAAAUUUCUAGUUUAAUGUGACAAUUAAAUAUUUUACUUCCUUCAAAAGAAUUUAAUUGGUGAAAAAAGUAUUAAUUGCCACUUUUUUAA